GUUUUCAACCAUUAUGUUUUACCACAUUAAGGAAAAUUGCCAGACAAAACUUUAAUCUGGAAAUUAGAUGGUGAUUUGCCAUACCCAGGCAUGUUCUCAGCCAGUUUUUUCUAGGUUCCUGCAAACAGACACACGUCAGAUGUUUAUCUCAUAUAGAUACAACCAUAAUUAUUUGUUUUCUAAAAGGUCAUGCCAAGUUUCUCUUUUUAAAGAUUAUCAGAUCUCAGGUCUUAGCAAAGAAAUCUUAUGAAAGUAGAGCCUUAGAUGGGAGGAGAUAAAGCUGAUUUUGUACUUAAGUAGUACAGUCAGCUCUCAAGUAUUCACAUUCAUGGAAAAAAUGAUGUAGAUUACAAAAAGAGCUUCCCUCCAUUAGGGUAAAUAACCUGGGAUAAGACAAUUUUAAGAAACUGGUGAGAAGAGUAAACCUUAGCCAAUUGGAUGCGGGACACUGCAUCUGAGACCAAAAGGUGAUGGGGUUCCUGGAAGUCAGAAAACAAGUAGUAGUAGUAGUAGUAGUAGUGUGUGUGUGUGUAUUAGAAGGAUUAAGAUACCAUGGUUUCAGUUUUCGCUGGUAGUUUUAGGCCAAAUGGAAUAGAACUAUCUGCUAUCCAGCUUUGGGACCACUUUCUCAUUACAUACUUCUUUAUGUUCUCAGCAUUAAUUCUUAUGGUGCAUUUAUUAAUCCCAUUACAUUAUUGAUUGAUUGGAACUCUUUUACCUUUGAAUUAAGUACAAUAAUUUUUCAAAUACAGGACAUUAUUUGCCACUUUAGAAUUUGGAAAGGAAGAUAAUAGAGAAAAGAGAGACUAAUAUUAUGUCUAUGGAAACUGAAUGCCCAAGAAUUAACUUCUGUUUUUUUCUCAAUUCUUGUAAAAUUGUAUCUCCAUUGUCCCCAAAUUCAUCAUUUUGAUUCUGAAAUGUUUAAUUAAUUCUUUUUUACUUUUAAUUCAUUAAUUGCUCUUAAGUUUAGGCUCCUUCUAGUCUCCAUUCAUCAUCAACUGUAAGAUAUUUAACUUCAUUAUGUCUCACCUCUUUUUUCUUGCUUGCUUUUGGGAUGUUUUAUGAUAUUUUAUUGGACUGACUUCAUAUAACUUUGGUUGCUUAUUUUUUACUUUGGUGACUUCUUUCUUCUCCAAAACUUCUAUCUCCUAUAAACAUAGCACAUUUUGAUUUACAGUUGUUUACAGAAUCUAAUUUGUUUAAUGUGUUUAUGUGAUUAGGUGACAUUAGUCUUAUGCUAUCUUGAUUGUAAAUAAAAGUGAGAAAUGAUGACAAUAAGUCUCAAUACCAAAAAGAGCUGUUAUAUUGAGAAUGUCCUUGUUUAGAAUACAUUUUUGUUCAGAUAAUUGCCAAUGACAUAUUUAUUUGUCUUUCACAGUAACAAACAAGACAGGACAGAAAAGAAACUGAGGAUCAAUACCAAAAAUGAAACCAUGUUACUGAAGUGAAGACAGAAGCAAAGCUCAAGAUAGGAGAAAUGAUAGCAAUAUAUCACUAAGUCUCUUUCUGCAGCUACAGCUCUCCAACUCAGACAAAUUAAAACUAAGGGACUUGAAAGAAUUUGCUGAUUGAGUUGUGGAACCACUGUCAGUAACUUUAAACAAAUUAUGAAAGUCUGUAAAGAUGUCAAAAAAUUGGAGAGGUAGAUUUCAGAAGUUGUAGGCAGGUAAGAUUUAACCUCAAUGCUUCUAAAAAGUCAAGAAUGUAAUAUUGUAAAUGGUUUGUGUAUACUUAGAAGAGAUCUGGGAGGCAGCAAAGGCCUGUUGGAAACAACUCAUACCAAAGGAGUCUGAUUUCCAUUCUGGAUGGGGUAACUUGGUAGGUAGAAAAAGGAAUGCUCCAGAUAUUGCAUCUCAACAAGUCAUUUGACAAAGUGUCUCAUAAUACCUGAGUCAAUAGGAUGGGAAAUGAGAGCUGAAUACCAGAAUUAGGUGGAAUGAACAACAGAACCCAAACAGUGUUAAUUUAUGUUGCUCUGGAAAGAGUUAUUGAAUGUUGCGCUAUAGAGCUCUGUUCAUGAUCCUGUUCUCUUUUGCAAUUUUAUUUUUUUUUAGAUGAAGACACAGAAGGCAAGUUUAUCAUAUAUGUAAAAGGAAAAAGUUGGGAAAGGCAGUUAACAUUCUGAAUGAUUAACUCAAAAUUGUAAAAGAUGUUGAAUAUUUAUUUAGAACAAAAUAUAAUUUUACAAAAAUGCUAGAAAAAUGGUGGGAACUUUUGUAAGAGCAGAGUUAAAAAAAUAGACUAAGCAUCCCCACCCAGAAAAAAGAAGAAAAAUAAAAAUGGCAUGCAAUGGAUACGAAGAAACUUAAUAGGUGCACAUGUCAAGUUCUGUAUUUAGUUUUGAAAAUCAGAGACCUGAGACUUGAUAGCACUUCAUAGGGAAACAAUCUAGGAAUUUUACUGAUGAGAAGCAGCCUUUGAAUCAAUUAAUAAAACAAAAUGAAACAAAACAAAAAAGCUAAUGCAAUCUUAGGUGGCACUAGUAAAAGCCUAGUAUCCAGAUCUGUAAAAUCAGGGUAAUAAUAAUAAUAAUACCUUCCUCAUAAGAUUUUUGCAAGUAUUAAAUGAGAAAAUUCCUGUAAAACACUUAGGAGUGGUUUAAGUGUAUGCAUUCAAUGAAUAUGUUAUUAUUACUAAAAAGAUAUAUGAUAGUCCUGCUUUACUUGUGCAAAAUCACAUCUAGAAGAGUAUGUCCAUGUAGGGGAUAAUGAGGAGGGUAGAAGUAUCAGAACAAAUGUGAGGACUAGAGAAAACUUGGAUGGAGAAGAUAAGAUAAUGGCAGUCUUCCAAAAUAUUAAGGGCUUGUAAAGAAGAAUUAGAUUUACCCUUCAUGACUCUAAGCAUUACCAAUAGGAGAAAUAAGCAAAAUGCACAGAGACUUAUUUUAGAUCUAUAAGAACAAAUUUCCUAAUAAUCAGAGUUAUUCAAAAUUGAAAUGGACUGUUCAGGAAGUGGUGAGUUUCUUGUCACUUGUGGUGUUUGGACAAAGGCCUGGCAGGAAACUCCAUAAAGGGCAUUCUUGCAUGGGAUGUAUCUAUGCAUGAAUCCAUUUAUUAAGAUUGUUAUGAAACAAUUAGUUAACAGAAACCAGCCGUGGGUCAACAAUCUGAUAAACUCUAGUGGACAUCUAAGGUUCUUUCCAACUCAAUGACUGCAUGAUUUUGAAGAAACAGGUAUAAGCUGUUCCUGACAUGGGAUUUUUUGAUUUCAUAAUGGUGCAAAAGCAAUAUGCAUUCAGUAGAAAUGGUACGUAGAAUUUUGAAUUCUGGCCUUUUUCCAGACUAGCAACAUGAAGUAGGAUACUCCUGUGAUGCUGGGCAGUGGCAGCCAGCCACAGCUCCCAAUCAGUCACUCGAUCAUGAGAGUAAGCAACUGAUCUGUAGGCUAAUGUAAGCUUUCUUAACAUGUUUAACAUAGUCUAGGUUUGAUAGUUUAGGUGUAUUAAAUGCAUUGAUUUUCAAUAUUUUCAACUUACAAUGGGUUUACUGAGAUGUAACCUUAUUAAAAAUCAAGGAAUAACUGUAUCUUCAGCUUCUAGAGAAGAUUGCUAAGCACCAUGUAGAGGUUAUUUUUCUUAGAACUUACCUCUGCUUCUUACUCAUAAUAGCUCCUACAUUGCUUACUGCAAAAGUAAACACCUGCUAUACUAUUCCAUGCUCUGCCCUAGACACCAAUGCCUCAUGAAUCACAUCAAAUACAAGUCUUUACCAUCUGAGCAGCAUGACUUUAUUUAUUUUUUUUCCUCAACUCAUCUGCAAUGCUAGAGGGGCUGUCCACAGCUUCCAAUUCGGGCUUUGCUGCCACUGUGUGAUGCUUCAUGUUGAAGCAGCAUUUUCUUUUCAAUGUAAACAUUUUUAGAAACACUGUGAGGAGAUUUCAGUGUAACAAAUGUACCAGAAUAGCUGUGUCUAGCCUGCUGGGUGAAAUCCUUUUUUGAAAUAAUGUUGGAACAAAGAAAUUCAUUCCCUGUAAAUGGGGAGCUAGUUAGUAAAUCAUAUAAACAGUAUUCACACCCUGUGUUCCAGACGAGGUGCUCUCCCUGCUGCUGUCAGCAACAUUUGCUGCCAAGUCCACUAACUACUUUACCCUGACCUUCAGUGGAUAAACAAUAUAAUCUUCCAUGCUGCAUCUCAUUAGCAUCUGCUAGUCAAGAAAAGCAUGUCUGUUUCAUAAUUACAUCACGAAAGCAUCUUGCUGUAUUAGAACAGCAAAGCAUUUGAAUUAGAAAAUGCACUUGUCCAAGAUUUCCAAGCCAGUAUAAAAGAAUUACAAUUGCCAUCAUUUUACUUGUUAUGUAUGUCCGGUAUAGAACAUGGUCUGAUGGUAGAGUGGGAAGAGAAGGUAUAAACUGGUCACAAUCUUCCAUAUUUAUUUUAAUGUUUUACACUCAUCUUGAUUUUGUCAAAUGUAUUAUUUUUAAAAUUUCUAACUUACCCUUUAAAAAAGAACAUACAACAACAUUUUAACUAUUUUCCUUGGGAACAAAAAGUUUUCCCUUGCCCUUGUUGAAUGACAAUUUGUAAGUCUGUCCUAAUAAAUUUAUCAAACUAGUUAUACAUUCAUAUCCAUUUAGCAAUAUCUAUAAUGUCACCAUUUCUAAAAGAGGCAGCAGUGUGAAAAGGUUAUCAAUUUAUUUUUUAAAUUAUUUUUAUUUUUAAUUUUUGUGGGUACAUGGUGUAUAUAUUUAUUGGGUACAUGAGAUGUUUUGAUACAGGCAUGCAAUGUGAAAUAAUCACAUCAUGGAGAAUGAAGUAUGCAUCUUCUCAAACGUUUAUACUUUGUGUUACAAACAAUCCAAUUAUACUCUUUUGUUGUUGAAAGGGUGGUGGGGGUUAGGGGGUGGGGAUGGUUAAUGGGUACAAAAAAUAGACAUAAUUUAUAGUCAAGGUUAUCAAUUUAGAAGAACUUAAGUCAACAAAGCAGAACUUCCUAAUAUGAAAUCAAAUGAGGUGGCUUAACAUUGCCCCUUAUUCUGUCAUUUGUAUGAAGGUCUAGAUGAUGCCAUCAUUCUACUUUAGGGGAAAUAUUAGGACGAUAUAAUGGAGCUAUCUUUGAUGGGGGAGUGGAAUGACUGGCAUAAUUUUGCCUCCUGGAGUGAAUGGUAAACAAACAGAAAGGAAAAUAGCCACAGCUACUUAGAACUUCAUGGCCAAAAGGGAUGAGAAAGAUCAAUGAUUAAAAGGUUAUAAAGUUGCAUAGAACAUAAGCAGAAGCAUGUACUUUCUAUCCAUAGGAACUGUAGGAUUAGCCAAUGAGUUUUAAAAUGGUGGUGGGUGAAAUUUUUUCAAAUGGGCCUUGAUUCAAAACAUUUAAAAAAUGGGAACACUCACUUAAAAAUGGGUGAAAUACUUAAAGUAAUUCACAAAAUACAUAUAGCUAGAGUCUGGAAAAAUUCAUAUGCACUAGAACUUAGAGGUAAAAACUGAAUAAAAAAUGGGAUAUUGUUUAUCACCUAUGAACUUAAUAAAAAUGACAAAGAAUGAUAAUACUUAGUAUUGGUGAUUGUGUUGACAAAUGGGCAUUCUAAUUCACUGCUGGUGUAUACAUUUUCUGAAGAGCAAGCUGAAGGUCAAUAUACCAACAUGCUAACUGACUUUUCUGAGAGGUGAAACUGUAAGUGAUUUUACUUUACUUCUUUACAUUUCCUGCAGCCCACAAAUAAUUUUUUUUAAUUUUUAAUUUUUGUGAGUACACAAUAGGUGUGCAUAUUUAUGAGGUACAUGAGAUAUUUUGAUACAGGUAUAUAACACAUAAUAAUCAUAUCAGGGUAAAUGGGGGUAUCCAUCACCUCAAGCAAUUAUCAUGACUGUGUUACAAAUAUUCCGAUAAUACUGUUUUAGUUAUAUUUAGAUGUACAAUAAAUUAUUGUUUACUGUAAUCACCUUGUUGUGCUUUCAAAUACUAGAUUGUAUUCAUUCUAUCUAACUAUAUUUUUGUACCCAUUAACCAUUCCCACUUUCCUUCCCCCCGAGUACCCUUCUCAGCCUCUGGUAACCAUCACUCUACUAUCUACCUCCAUGACUACAAUUGUUUUAAUUUUUAGCUCCCACAUAUGAGUGAAAACAUAUGAAGUUCGUCUUUCUGAGCCUGGAUUAUUUCACUUAACACAAUGGCCUCCAG
rnacentral:lncRNA from 1 species